UGAGUACGAGCUGCUACGGCAGCGAAGUGGGUGAUGUCAAGCUUCCAAGAAAAGCCCUAUACCCGUUAAGGCAUGACGGCCUGUACCCGAAACCGACACAGGUGGGGUGGUAGAGAAUACCGAGGGGCGCGAGAUAACUCUCUCUAAGGAACUCGGCAAAAUGGCCCCGUAACUUCGGGAGAAGGGGUGCCACCGCAAGGUGGUCGCAGUGAAGAGGCCCAGGCGACUGUUUACCAAAAACACAGGUCUCCGCUAAGUCGCAAGACGAUGUAUGGGGGCUGACGCCUGCCCAGUGCCGGAAGGUUAAGGAAGCUGGUCAGCGCAAGCGAAGCUAGCGACUGAAGCCCCGGUGAACGGCGGCCGUAACUAUAACGGUCCUAAGGUAGCGAAAUUCCUUGUCGGGUAAGUUCCGACCCGCACGAAAGGCGUAACGAUCUGGGCGCUGUCUCGGAGAGAGGCUCGGCGAAAUAGAAUUGUCUGUGAAGAUGCGGACUACGUGCACCCGGACAGAAAGACCCUAUGAAGCUUUACUGUAGCUUGGUAUUGUGUCCGGGCUCUGAAUGCGCAGGAUAGGUGGGAGGCUUUGAUCCAUUGCUUGUGGGUAAUGGUGAGCCACUGGUGAGAUACCACUCUUUCAGAGCUAGGGUUCUAACGGUCACCCGUUAUCCGGGGACCGGACAGUAUCAGGUGGGCAGUUUGACUGGGGCGGUCGCCUCCUAAAAGGUAACGGAGGCGCGCAAAGGUUCCCUCAGGCUGGUUGGAAAUCAGCCGACGAGUGUAAAGGCAGAAGGGAGCUUGACUGUGAGACCUACAAGUCGAACAGGGACGAAAGUCGGCCUUAGUGAUCCGACGGUUCUGAGUGGAAGGGCCGUCGCUCAACGGAUAAAAGUUACUCUAAGGAUAACAGGCUGAUCUCCCCCAAGAGUUCACAUCGACGGGGAGGUUUGGCACCUCGAUGUCGGCUCAUCGCAACCUGGGGCUGAAGUCGGUCCCAAGGGUUGGGCUGUUCGCCCAUUAAAGCGGUACGCGAGCUGGGUUCAGAACGUCGUGAGACGGUUCGGUCCAUAUCCGGUGCACGCGCAGGAACAUUGAGGGGAUUUCUCCCUAGUACGAGAGGACCGGGAGGAACGCACCUCUGGUGUACCAGUUAUCGUGCCAACGGUAAACGCUGGGUAGCCAUGUGCGGAGCGGAUAACCGCUGAAAGCAUCUAAGUGGGAAGCCCACCUCAAGAUGAGUGUUCCCAUGGCAUAAGCCAGUAAGGUCACGGGAAGAACACCCGUUGAUAGGCUCUACGUGGAAGCGUGGCAACACGUGAAGCGGAGGAGUACUAAUAGACCGAGGGCUUG
rnacentral:rRNA from 1 species